UUUAACUGAAGAGUUUGAUCAUGGCUCAGAUUGAACGCUGGCGGCAGGCUUAACACAUGCAAGUCGAGCGGGGGAAGGUAGCUUGCUACUGGACCUAGCGGCGGACGGGUGAGUAAUGCUUAGGAAUCUGCCUAUUAGUGGGGGACAACAUCUCGAAAGGGAUGCUAAUACCGCAUACGUCCUACGGGAGAAAGCAGGGGAUCUUCGGACCUUGCGCUAAUAGAUGAGCCUAAGUCGGAUUAGCUAGUUGGUGGGGUAAAGGCCUACCAAGGCGACGAUCUGUAGCGGGUCUGAGAGGAUGAUCCGCCACACUGGGACUGAGAACACGGCCCAGACUCCUACGGGAGGCAGCAGUGGGGAAUAUUGGACAAUGGGGGGAACCCUGAUCCAGCCAUGCCGCGUGUGUGAAGAAGGCCUUAUGGUUGUAAAGCACUUUAAGCGAGGAGGAGGCUACUUUAGUUAAUACCUAGAGAUAGUGGACGUUACUCGCAGAAUAAGCACCGGCUAACUCUGUGCCAGCAGCCGCGGUAAUACAGAGGGUGCGAGCGUUAAUCGGAUUUACUGGGCGUAAAGCGUGCGUAGGCGGCUUAUUAAGUCGGAUGUGAAAUCCCCGAGCUUAACUUGGGAAUUGCAUUCGAUACUGGUGAGCUAGAGUAUGGGAGAGGAUGGUAGAAUUCCAGGUGUAGCGGUGAAAUGCGUAGAGAUCUGGAGGAAUACCGAUGGCGAAGGCAGCCAUCUGGCCUAAUACUGACGCUGAGGUACGAAAGCAUGGGGAGCAAACAGGAUUAGAUACCCUGGUAGUCCAUGCCGUAAACGAUGUCUACUAGCCGUUGGGGCCUUUGAGGCUUUAGUGGCGCAGCUAACGCGAUAAGUAGACCGCCUGGGGAGUACGGUCGCAAGACUAAAACUCAAAUGAAUUGACGGGGGCCCGCACAAGCGGUGGAGCAUGUGGUUUAAUUCGAUGCAACGCGAAGAACCUUACCUGGCCUUGACAUACUAGAAACUUUCCAGAGAUGGAUUGGUGCCUUCGGGAAUCUAGAUACAGGUGCUGCAUGGCUGUCGUCAGCUCGUGUCGUGAGAUGUUGGGUUAAGUCCCGCAACGAGCGCAACCCUUUUCCUUACUUGCCAGCAUUUCGGAUGGGAACUUUAAGGAUACUGCCAGUGACAAACUGGAGGAAGGCGGGGACGACGUCAAGUCAUCAUGGCCCUUACGGCCAGGGCUACACACGUGCUACAAUGGUCGGUACAAAGGGUUGCUACACAGCGAUGUGAUGCUAAUCUCAAAAAGCCGAUCGUAGUCCGGAUUGGAGUCUGCAACUCGACUCCAUGAAGUCGGAAUCGCUAGUAAUCGCGGAUCAGAAUGCCGCGGUGAAUACGUUCCCGGGCCUUGUACACACCGCCCGUCACACCAUGGGAGUUUGUUGCACCAGAAGUAGCUAGCCUAACUGCAAAGAGGGCGGUUACCACGGUGUGGCCGAUGACUGGGGUGAAGUCGUAACAAGGUAGCCGUAGGGGAACCUGCGGCUGGAUCACCUCCUUAA
rnacentral:rRNA from 1 species